GGACGUGUCUUCCAAACAGAGUAUAGUUCCAAAGAAGACAUGGUAUCCCAGCAACCAAAUGUACAACACAGGAGACAGAUGAAUUUCUCAUUCUUGUAGGCUACCAUUUCUUUUGGCUUAUUACAAAACAACAGGAUGCUGCAGCUUUAUCAAAGUCUACUUAUUUGUCCACUAAAAGUUUAUGGCUAUACGUUUCCAACUAGAACAUCUGAACACCAAUAUAUGGAAUUCUGACAAAGUUAAAACCAGGAAGAGAUCCUAUGAAGGCUGACAUUUUGUACAUCUGUUUUAUAGAACAAUAAAAAUAAGAAGAACAAGAAUAAGAACAGCAACAACAUUUGCAGCCACUGUCUAGACCACAGGAAACCUGGUCAACAACAUAUGGGAUGUCACCAGAUUCAGACUCAGAAGUUUCCAUAAUGCCGUUGCCAACAGCUAGACACAAGAGAGUACUCUAUCUGUGUUCUUGAGUGGAGAUGAUGAAGAUUAGAACUAUACCUGAGUUGUGAUGAACAUGGAAAGUGAUUUGGAGAGUUGCACUUUUCUUGAAACCUGAGCCUGAGAAUUUGCUUAUGGAUUGUAUAUGAUGCCAGGAAAUGGAAUAGAGGACUGGGAAGAGUGAGAGAAGGAAGAGAAGCCAGGAGGAGAGUAUGUUACGAGCUGUGAAUAAUUGGGACUUGAUUCCACUGAGCUCCUUUGAAGUAUCUGAGAAUUUGACUGCAGAAUUGUGAACCUGAAAAUCACAGAAAAGAGAAUAUUUAUCUAUUGAACCUUCUCUUCAUCUUGCAUUGGUCAAGAGUUGUCCUACGGGAUAUUAAGACACUUGCACUUUCAAGUUUGCAGAAGUAUGGGAACGAAAGCAUCCAAAAAGCCCUGAGGCAGGAAGCAAGCUGAGACAAGGUGUUGGUGAUGAUGGUACACCUGGAUGAAGCUAACUUCAGCAGCAAUAGUUGCUGAAUGAAUUUUUCAUUUCAUCUAAGUUGCCACAUUCAUCAGCAUAAAAUUGUUAAUGAUAUUCUUUUAGAACUUGGAGGGUGGUAGGAGAGAGAGGAGCAGAAAAAAAUAACUAUUGGAUAUGAGCCUUAAUACCUGGGUUUUGACAUAAUCUGUACAACAAACCUCCAUGAAACAAGUUUACCUAUAUAACAAA
rnacentral:lncRNA from 1 species